GACGAACGCUGGCGGCGUACUUAACACAUGCAAGUCGAACGGAAAGGCCCUGCUUUUGUGGGGUGCUCGAGUGGCGAACGGGUGAGUAACACGUGAGUAACCUGCCCUUGACUUUGGGAUAACUUCAGGAAACUGGGGCUAAUACCGGAUAGGAGCUCCUGCUGCAUGGUGGGGGUUGGAAAGUUUCGGCGGUUGGGGAUGGACUCGCGGCUUAUCAGCUUGUUGGUGGGGUAGUGGCUUACCAAGGCUUUGACGGGUAGCCGGCCUGAGAGGGUGACCGGCCACAUUGGGACUGAGAUACGGCCCAGACUCCUACGGGAGGCAGCAGUGGGGAAUAUUGCACAAUGGGCGGAAGCCUGAUGCAGCAACGCCGCGUGCGGGAUGACGGCCUUCGGGUUGUAAACCGCUUUCGCCUGUGACGAAGCGUGGGUGACGGUAAUGGGUAAAGAAGCACCGGCUAACUACGUG
rnacentral:rRNA from 1 species